AUACAAUUUUAAGAUGGCGGAAGGGAGAGACGUCGAUAAAGAAAUAUAAACAAACAUGAGUAUUUUUAGAUACUAAGAUGUCAAAUGGCUGCGGGCUUUGUGACCAAAGGUGAAAAAUACAAACACCAGUCGUCCGAAAGUGUGAAAAGGACGUUAAUUUAAAUUAAAGUAAUGAUCCACAAUGAGAUUAGAUAUGUGUGACAGUUUACCGCCUACCUCCUUUAUCACGACAAGUGGGAAUCUACUGGAGGGGAACCACGAGACUGAUAUUUCACUUUUAAAGUCAAGAGUCAGAAAGUGCAAUUUUGAUGAAGAUUCUCAAAAACCAUGCUUUUCUAGUGACAUUCCAUCAUCCCCUGAGAGCAUUUCUGAACACGACCUGUGUUCAUCGAAAUACCUUGAUCGGGAAAUGUGUUCACAGUCUGGGGAGGUUAACAAUGAAUGUUCGCAACUGAAAAAGUCAAACAGUGAAAAUGGAGUUUCCACCUCUGAGAAACACUGUGAUAUUGGGGAAGAGAAUCUCAAACACAAUGGAACAUCCUCAUCACUAGGUGCAUUGGAGCAAUCUGGGAUAAAAAGAGUGAAUUCUAAAGAAUUAAAAGCUGGUCUUUUGAUAUCUCCACUUUCACUCACUCAAGAUUUACCCAUUAGUGUUGGAGAAGAUGAUAACCGCCUCUCCUCUGUGCUUGAGAAUAUUCCCACCCCCCUUGUUUACUUGCCCAACACCCGCCAACUGGUCACCGAAACAUCCAAAGAAAGCAGUGACUCCAGGAGUGUGUCUAGUUGUGAUGUAAAUAAUGUAGUUUCAGAGUCGAGUCAAAAUGAGGGAAGUGAUGAAGAUACAGUCAGUAUAUGUGACAAAUGGAAACUGGUGAAUUUACACGACACUUCCAGUAUUGGAGAAACGGACUCCCUGCUAAGACUCAAAGAUCCAGACCAGCUCACCUGCAAUAGUUUUGACUUGGAUGGAUCUUUGCACCGAGUCCAGACCGGAGACUCCUUGUUGAGGACUUUCAAUGAUGCUUCCAGUCUGUCGAGUAUGAGCACCUGCACAGAUUUUUCUGUGUCUGCAAUUUCCAUGGGAGAUGAUGCUAGUGAUGGGACAGGAAUGUGUUUAGACACUGGUGAUGGAAAUUUUAUUGAAGUGAAUCUCCACACGAGAAACUCAUUUGAGCGAAGCAAAAACAACUCGGCAGAUAGUGGAAUUGAGGAUCAGGGAGCCAAGCCGAAGAGAAGGGGCAUCUCAGGUUUUUUGUCAAGGGGCUUGUUUUCCCGCAAAUCUAAGGAAGAGGAGGAGGACCAGGGAUGGAAGCUCUUUGGGCGUGUCCCUCCCAAACAGGGUGUGGCCAAACCCCCUCAACAGAUCUCACAUGAAUACCAACAACGAAACGCCCUCCAGAACAACAACCGCCCCAAAAAAUCCGAUAUAGAAGUCAUGUCCACCACAGCGCUCAUCCUUGAAAAUCGACCACAAAAUUUGCCUACAAAAGAUCCAGAGGAAGCAGAGAGACACAGACUACAGUACGAGGCUAUGAUAGAGGCUGCCAAAAAGAAAGAACAAAGAGAUCUAAAGAUGAAGAAGAAACACAUGCAACAGCAGCUAAAACAAGAAGACCAGAUGUUGCAGCUGUCCAAACGCUGGGCUAACGACAUCCUACCCAACUGGGAACUCACGAAAAGGACGAAGAAGACGCGGGACAUGUGGUGGCAGGGACUCCCCACCAAUGUCAGGGGCAAAGUCUGGAAGCUGGCCAUUGGCAACGAUCUCAAUCUGACCCCAGAGCUGUACGAGAUUUGUGCUUGUCGGGCGGAGGACAGAAUCAAGCAGACGUGUGACUCAGACACAGCAUCCGUCUCGGACUGUAAGUCGCAUGAUGCGUCAGUGUGCGAUAUCAAAACCACUGACUAAUACCUGCAUCAUUCUAUUUUUUUUGUAUAGAUAUAUCCGCAAAGUGCAGCUAUAAUGCCCUGAUAAGGAAUAGUACAGUAAUUCAUUUGUCCUGUGUGGAUCGUUAUUUUUAUUUUCUGAAUUAAUUAAGUAAAAAAAAAAAUUAUCGUAAUAGCCUUCAGAUUGUUUGCAUAAUUGUAACAAAAGAUAAUUUUCUUGUGCUUGUGAAGAAUGAUCUUAAAAAUAGCCCACGGAAAUCUAAUUAUUAGAAGAUUGCAUCCUUGCAUGCAUUGCUGCAUUUUGUUGUGUGCAUGUACCAAUUAUACCAAUACAUUGUAUUGAUUGAUUUGAACAGGUUCUCCGGAGGUGUCUACCAGCAAUCGUGAGGCCAGUGUAGAGCUCAUCAAGUUAGACAUUUCCCGGACAUUUCCACAGUUGUGUAUUUUUCAAAAGGGAGGACCUUAUCAUGACCUCCUCCACAGUUUACUGGGUGCUUAUGCCUGCUACAGACCAGAUGUUGGUUAUGUGCAGGGUAUGUCUUUCAUUGCUGCUGUUUUGUUGUUAAACAUGGACGUAGCUGACGCCUUCAUCUGCUUCGCUAACUUGCUGAACAGACCCUGUCAGGUCGCCUUCUUCAGAAUAGAUGAAGCUAUGAUGAAGUUUUACUUUCAAACCUAUGAAGAAUUCUUCAAAGAGAACAUGCCAUCCUUGUUCCGUCACUUCAGCAAGACUAAUGUCACUCCAGACAUAUACCUGAUAGAUUGGAUCUUUUCCUUGUACAGUAAAUCUCUACCAUUGGAUAUUGCGUGUCGGGUCUGGGACAUCUUCUGUAGAGAUGGGGAGGAGUUCCUGUUCCGAACAGCUUUAGGAAUCUUGAAGCUUUACGAGGACAUUCUGAUCCAUCAAGAGUUCAUUCUCCUGGCACAGUUCCUAACCAAACUGCCAGAGGACAUAUCCAGUGACAGUCUAUUCAAAUCCAUAGAACUGAUCAAUAUGAACAUUGAUAAGAAGAAAUUCAGUCAAAUACUGGCCAGUAAAAAAGAGCAGGGAAAGAUGGAGAUGACUUAGUUGGAGGGGGGAUCCCUGGCCCUCGUACAACGAUGUGUGGUUGAACUUUUUUCUGGCUUCAGAUGAUCUGAAGGAUUGUCUGCUUCCUGUGUUGUCAAUAGUGGAAUACUCAAAAUCAUGUAUAAACAGUUUUAAUUCAUUGUCAUGCAAUCUAGUCAAGAGGAAGACUAGUAAAAAAAUAUUUUGUGAUAUUUUUGCAUAAAUUAUCAUUUUGUU
rnacentral:misc_RNA from 1 species